rnacentral:rRNA from 1 species
GGGUGCGAUCAUACCAGCACUAAUGCACCGGAUCCCAUCAGAACUCCGAAGUUCAGCGUGCUUGGGCGAGAGUAGUACUAGGUUGGGUGACCUCCUGGGAAGUCCUCGUGUUGCACCCC